rnacentral:rRNA from 1 species
ACGCUCGACACCUGCGAGAGGCAGCAGUGGGGAAUAUUGCACAAUGGGGGAAACCCUGAUGCAGCGAUGCCGCGUGAAGGAAGAAGUAUCUCGGUAUGUAAACUUCUAUCAGCAGGGAAGAAAAUGACGGUACCUGACUAAGAAGCCCCGGCUAACUACGUGCCUGCAGCCGCGGUAAUCUGAGCGGGCUGGCAAGGC